UAUCCCGAGCACCUCUCUGCACACUUCUGAGUGGCUCUCUCCCCUCUCCAGAGCAUCUCUCUGCACCUCUGAGUGGCUCUCUCCCCUCUCCAGAGCAUCUCUGUCCACACUUCAUUUUUUUUGCAGUUGUUUUCAUUUUGUUUUUUGUUGUUUUGUUUUUUUGUGGUACGCGGGCCUCUCACUAUUGAGGCCUCUCCCGUUGUGGAGCACAGACUCAGGACGCACAGGCUCAGCGGCCAUGGCUCACGGGCCCAGUCGCUCCGCGGCAUGUGGAAUCUUCCCAGACCGGGGCACGAACCCGUGUCCCCUACAUCAGCAGGCAGACUCUCAACCACUGUGCCACCAGAACUUGUGUAUCUGAAAAACCCCGAAUCCAUCAUGCCUGCUAUCUAAUGACACGAGGAGGGGCACGAAGAAAGCAGCGGGGAAGGUUCAUGAGGAUGCGCGCGCUCUCAUAGGAGCCCUUGGCGUGGAUGCGCUCCCGCUCGCGCGCGUCCACGAACUCCUUGGCGAAGCGGUAGCCGUAGUCGAUGUUGUCGCCGCAGCCGCCCCACAGCCAGUCCCGCGGCAGGUCCUUGGGGCGCGCGGCGCGGCUGCAGCCACAGGUGGACAGCUCGCCCUCGCGGCAGGCGCGGCUCAUGGCGUUGACCACCCCCGCGGCGCUCACGGCGUACGUGAAGGCCGUCUCGCGGCUGCCUGCGGGCGAGGACGGCAUCUAGCCUGUCUCAGAACAAGGCUCCUGACUUUCCCAGAGGACGUUUCUAAACUGGUCCCUAGAGAGUUUUAAAUGAAACUCGCCUCUUCUCAAACCCCAAGCUGACCGGGCUGACACUUCUCACUCACGUAGGUGAGUGUCUACUUUUAAAACAGCCCACGGUUCCUUAGUGUCACUUCUGCAGCUCCCCAGCAGCCUCUGACUCCAAGUGUUAGGAUAACAGCAAAAAGGAGGAACAAAAAUAAAAAGGUUCUUCUUCCCCAAACUUGUAAAGAAUAUACAGGCCUAGAGGAAAGAAGUUCUCUCCUUCCCUAAAACGUGUAAAGAGUAUCUCCCUGUCAAACGGUUCUAUAGGAGCCCUAUGUGUAAGGACAAAACAAGAGGUAACCAUAGACUACCUCCAUCUCCACUUGCAUGUGGAGACAUUUCCACAUGUAACAAGAAGUCACUUAAAGUAUGUCCUAUGAGAGAGAGAGGGUUAA